GGUGCAUACAAGUACAUCCAGAAGCUAUGGAAGAAGCAGUCUGAUGUCAUGAGCUUUCUUCUGAGGGUCCGCUGCUGGCAGUACCACCAGCUCUCUGCUCUCCACAGGGAUCCCCGCCCCACCCAGCCCAAUAAAGCACGCUACUGGGCUACAGCCAAGCAAGGUUAUGUUACAUAUAAGCGCCACGGUGGCUGAAAAUCUAGUUCCUAAGAAGGCAACUUAACAGCAAGCCUGUCUAUCAUGGUGUUAACCAGCUAGUUUGCUUAAAGCCUUCAGUCUGUUACAGAAGAGCAAGCUGGAUGCCACUGUGGGGCUCUGAGUCCUGAAUUCUCACUGGGCUGGUUAAAGAUUCCACAUACAAAGUUUUUGAGGCUAUCCUAGUUGAUCCAUUCCAUAACACUAUCAGAAGGAAACCUGACACCCAGUGGUCCACAACAAGCAUAGGGAGAUGCGUAGGCUAUCUGCAGGCCAAGAGAGCCACGGCCUUGGAAAGGGCUGUAAGUUCUACCACACUAUUGGUGGUUCUCGCCAUGCAGCUUGGAGAAGGUGCAAUACUCUCCAGCUCCACAGCUACCGCUAA
rnacentral:lncRNA from 1 species